rnacentral:lncRNA from 1 species
AGGGCCGGCCCAAGCCCAAAGCAAGUGAAGUUAGGGCUUUAGGCCCCCAAAAUUUGGGCCAAGAAAUAGGCCUCAAUUGUUUUUUUUGUUGUUGGGGAAAUAGACCUCAAUUUUUAAUAUAGAGAUAUUUGUUCCUAAUUGUUGAUAGUAUUUUAGUAAUAGCGCAGCGGCUGAAGGCCUUGCAUUUUUUAGCUCUUGGUCACAGGAUCGAAACUUAACUGUUGCAUUUUCAAUUUAUUUUUCCAAAAAUUAUUAAUAAGCCUCAUUUUCCAAUGUUUGAAUAAUAACACACUACCACCACCGUAAUUGCUUUCUUGGUGAGUACACCAAUAUAAUUAAUUCACUAACAAAGUUAAUUUUUUGACCUGAUGAUUUAUUAUUUAUUAUAAUUAUUCAUAAGUGAUUAAAUUAUAUUUUACAAAAAAUUAUCAAAAAAAAAACUAUUUUUUACAAAAUUACCUAUAACUUCUUUUUUUUUUUUUUUAAAAACUUGAUAUCCGGCCCUAGGAUCGACUAAUCAAAGGGACCAAUCCCACUAUUUUUUGAAAACUUGAAAAAAGUAAUUAAAAAUAAUAUUAGAAAUAAAACAAUUGUUAAAACAAUUGUUUUAGCCGAGGUGUGACAACUAUUAUUGUAUAAAAGGAUUAAUAUUUUUUUUUUAUCAUUUUUUUUUAUUUUUUUUGGCAAACUUUUUUUUUAAUCAUUUCUAAAAGGCCUCAUUUAAUUUUUCGCUUUAGGCCUCAACAUAUGUUGGGCCGGCCCUG